rnacentral:rRNA from 1 species
GUAGGUGAAAUCAGUCGAAGAUACCAGCUGGCUGCAACUGUUUAAUAAAAACACAGCACUGUGCAAACACGAAAGUGGACGUAUACGGUGUGACGCCUGCCCGGUGCUGGAAGGUUAAUUGAUGGGGUUAUGCGUAAGCAGAAGCUCUUGAUCGAAGCCCCAGUAAACGGCGGCCGUAACUAUAACGGUCCUAAGGUAGCGAAAUUCCUUGUCGGGUAAGUUCCGACCUGCACGAAUGGCGUAAUGAUGGCCAGGCUGUCUCCACCCGAGACUCAGUGAAAUUGAAAUUGCCGUGAAGAUGCGGUGUACCCGUGGCAAGACGGAAAGACCCCGUGAACCUUUACUAUAGCUUGACAGUGAACAUUGAGCCUUAAUGUGUAGGAUAGGUGGGAGACUAAGAAGCAUGCACGCCAGUGUGUGUGGAGUCGACCUUGAAAUACCACCCUUUAAUGUUUGAUGUUCUAACCUAUACUUCUGAAUCGAGGUAAGGGACACUGUCUGGUGGGUAGUUUGACUGGGGCGGUCUCCUCCCAAAGAGUAACGGAGGAGCACGAAGGUUAGCUAAUCCUGGUCGGACAUCAGGAGGUUAGUGCAAUGGCAAAAGCUAGCUUGACUGCGAGAGUGACGGCUCGAGCAGGUACGAAAGUAGGUCAUAGUGAUCCGGUGGUUCUGAAUGGAAGGGCCAUCGCUCAACGGAUAAAAGGUACUCCGGGGAUAACAGGCUGAUACCGCCCAAGAGUUCAUAUCGACGGCGGUGUUUGGCACCUCGAUGUCGGCUCAUCACAUCCUGGGGCUGAAGUAGGUCCCAAGGGUACGGCUGUUCGCCGUUUAAAGUGGUACGCGAGCUGGGUUUAGAACGUCGUGAGACAGUUCGGUCCCUAUCUGCCAUGGGCGUAGGAAAAUUGAGAGGGUUUGCUUCUAGUACGAGAGGACCGAAGUGAACGCACCGCUGGUGUUCGGGUUGUGAUGCCAAUUGCAUUGCCCGGUAGCUACGUGCGGAAUAGAUAAGUGCUGAAAGCAUCUAAGCACGAAACUAGCCUCGAGAUGAGUUUUCCCUGAUGAGAAUCAGUAAGGUCCGUUUGAGACUAAGACGUAGAUAGGUCAGGUGUGUAAGUGUAGUGAUACAUUGAGCUAACUGAUACUAAUGAACCGAGAGUCUUAACCUU